rnacentral:rRNA from 1 species
UACGGAGGGAGCUAGCGUUGUUCGGAAUUACUGGGCGUAAAGCGCGCGUAGGCGGCUUUGUAAGUUAGAGGUGAAAGCCCGGGGCUCAACUCCGGAACUGCCUUUAAGACUGCAUCGCUUGAAUCCGGGAGAGGUGAGUGGAAUUCCGAGUGUAGAGGUGAAAUGCGUAGAGAUCGGGAGGAACACCUGUGGCGAAGGCGGCGUCCUGGCCUGCGACUGACGCUGUGGCGCGAAAGCUAGGGGAGCGAACGGG